AAAAAGAUAAGCUAAUUAAGCUACUGGGCUCAUACCCCAUUCAUAAAGGUUCUAAUCCUUUUCUUUUUA
rnacentral:tRNA from 1 species